rnacentral:lncRNA from 1 species
UCGAUUCACUAUCGGCCUCUGGACUAUGCACGACAACGGAUGGUGGACCGUCAAGGUUAGACCGCCAAAAGAAAUCCAAUUCGACUACAACAUUUAUAAGGCUCAUCACCCGACAUUCUAUCGGCACCAUGGAUCCGGACAGCCGACUAUCAAUCGAUAAGCCAACUGACUAUUAGUAACUUGCAAUCGACUUUUCUGACGGCUACAAAUCAACCAUAAUGACUCGAUCAACUACAUAAUCGAUGAUCAGUUGGUAUAUCAGAGUCAUCGACUGAUAGUCAGUUGGUAUAUCAAAAAUACCGACAUACAAUUAGUACGCC